rnacentral:rRNA from 1 species
AGCAGUCGCCACGGGAAUACAGAGGGUGCGAGCGUUAAUCGGAUUUACUGGGCGUAAAGCGUGCGUAGGCGGCUUCUUAAGUCGGAUGUGAAAUCCCUGAGCUUAACUUAGGAAUUGCAUUCGAUACUGGGAAGCUAGAGUAUGGGAGAGGAUGGUAGAAUUCCAGGUGUAGCGGUGAAAUGCGUAGAGAUCUGGAGGAAUACCGAUGGCGAAGGCAGCCAUCUGGCCUAAUACUGACGCUGAGGUACGAAAGCAUGGGGAGCAAACAGGAUUAGAUACCCGUGUAGUCCCUGUCUCUUAUAA